GACCUGCGAUUACCGACCUGUUUUUCAAUCAAUUAGAUUUUCGCUAUUUUGACGCUGAUAGCAGCUGUGAGCGUCCUCUGCAAUAAAUGAUAG